rnacentral:rRNA from 1 species
GACGAACCGUGCGACCGUUAUUCGGAAUCACUGGGCUUAAAGGGCGCGUAGGCGGGUUGCCAAGUCGGAGGUGAAAUCCUGCAGCUCAACUGCAGAAGUGCCCCCGAUACUGGCAGUCUCGAGUGAGGUAGGGGCAUGUGGAACUUCCGGUGGAGCGGUGAAAUGCGUAGAUAUCGGAAGGAACGCCGGUGGCGAAAGCGACGUGCUGGACCUCAACUGACGCUGAGGCGCGAAAGCCAGGGGAGCGAACGGG